rnacentral:rRNA from 1 species
CCUACGUGAGGCAGCAGUGAGGAAUAUUGGUCAAUGGGCGCGAGCCUGAACCAGCCAAGUAGCGUGAAGGAUGACUGCCCUACGGGUUGUAAACUUCUUUUAUAAAGGAAUAAAGUGAGGCACGUGUGCCUUUUUGUAUGUACUUUAUGAAUAAGGAUCGGCUAACUCCGUGCCAGCAGCCGCGGUAAUACGGAGGAUCCGAGCGUUAUCCGGAUUUAUUGGGUUUAAAGGGAGCGUAGAUGGGUUGUUAAGUCAGUUGUGAAAGUUUGCGGCUCAACCGUAAAAUUGCAAUUGAUACUGGCAGUCUUGAGUACAGUUGAGGUAGGCGGAAUUCGUGGUGUAGCGGUGAAAUGCUUAGAUAUCACGAAGAACUCCGAUUGCGAAGGCAGCUUACUAAACUGCCACUGACAUUGAUGCUCGAAAGUGUGGGUAUCAAACAGGAUUAGAUACCCCGGGUC